GACAGAGGUGCCAAGCGUUAGGCGGAAUCACUGGGCUUAAAGCGUGUGUAGGCGGAAUGGUAAGUACCUUGUGAAAUCCCACGGCUCAACCGUGGAACUGCUUGGUAUACUGCUUUUCUUGAGCCACUUAGGGGCUGUCGGAACAAACGGUGGAGCGGUGAAAUGCGUAGAGAUCCGGAGGAACACCAGAGGCGAAAGCGGCGCUCUGGGCUGCACCUGACGCUGAACUGCGAAAGCCAGGGGAGCGAACGGG
rnacentral:rRNA from 1 species